rnacentral:rRNA from 1 species
GACGAACGCUGGCGGCGUGCCUAAUGCAUGCAAGUCGCACGCACCUGUCUUCGGACAGGUGAGUGGCGCACGGCUGAGUAGCACGUGGGAACGUACCCGACUGUGGGGGAUAACGGUGCGAAAGCGUCGCUAAUCCCGCAUAUCCGUCUUCGGACGAAAGCAGUGAUGCGCAGUCGGCGCGGCCCGCGGCCCAUCAGGUCGUUGGUGAGGUAACGGCUCACCAAGCCACUGACGGGUAGCUGGUCUGUGAGGACAGACAGCCAGACUGGGACUGAGACACGGCCCAGACUCCUACGGGAGGCAGCAGCAAGGAAUUUUCGUCAAUGGGGGCAACCCCGAACGAGCAACGCCGCGUGCGGGAUGACGGCCUUCGGGUUGUAAACCGCUUUUGGGGGGGACGAUAGUGACGGUACCCUCUGAAUAAGGCUCGGCUAACUCUGUGCCAGCCGCCGCGGUAACAC